rnacentral:rRNA from 1 species
CUGUUUAUCAAAAACAUCGCCUUUAGCAAGAACGAGUAUUAAAGGUCCCGCCUGCCCAGUGAAAAUUUUUAACGGCCGCGGUAUCCUAACCGUGCAAAGGUAGCGUAAUCACUUGUCCUCUAAAUAAGGACCCGUAUGAAUGGCUAACUGAGGGCACAACUGUCUCCUGACGCCCGCUAAUGAAACUGAUCUACUGGUACAAAAGCCAGAAUAAACCCACAAGACGAGAAGACCCUGUGGAGCUUACAAACUACCCGCUACUAGCCGCAAUACCCCCUCACGAGACUACAUGCAACUAACCUAGCGGCCGUUUUAAGUUGGGGCGACUACGGAGUAUAACACAACCUCCACGAAACCAAGGCUAAUCCCCGAUUAUACCAGGCACACACGCCAAAAACGCCCACAGACCCAGUACCACUGACCACCGAACCAAGUUACCCCAGGGAUAACAGCACCAUCCCCCUCCAGAGUCCCUAUCGCCAGGGGGGUUUAUGACCUCGAUGUUGGAUCAGGACACCCAGGCAG